CCUACGGGAGGCAGCAGUGAGGAAUAUUGGUCAAUGGACGCAAGUCUGAACCAGCCAUGCCGCGUGCAGGAAGACGGCUCUAUGAGUUGUAAACUGCUUUUGUACGAGGGUAAACGCAGAUACGCGUAUCUGUCUGAAAGGAUCGUACGAAUAAGGAUCGGCUAACUCCGUGCCAGCAGCCGCGGUCAUACGGAGGAUUCAAGCGUUAUCCGGAUUUAUUGGGUUUAAAGGGUGCGUAGGCGGUCGGAUAAGUUAGAGGUGAAAGCCCGAGGCUCAACUUCGGAAUUGCCUCUGAUACUGUUCGGCUAGAGAGUAGUUGCGGUAGGCGGAAUGUAUGGUGUAGCGGUGAAAUGCUUAGAGAUCAUACAGAACACCGAUGGCGAAGGCAGCUUACCAAGCUACUUCUGACGUUGAGGCACGAAAGCGUGGGGAGCAAACAGGAUUAGAUACCCUGGUAGUC
rnacentral:rRNA from 1 species